rnacentral:rRNA from 1 species
CCUACGGGUGGCAGCAGUAGGGAAUCUUCCACAAUGGGCGAAAGCCUGAUGGAGCAACGCCGCGUGGGUGAAGAAGGUCUUCGGAUCGUAAAACCCUGUUGUUAGAGAAGAAAGUGCGUGAGAGUAACUGUUCACGUUUCGACGGUAUCUAACCAGAAAGCCACGGCUAACUACGUGCCAGCAGCCGCGGUAAUACGUAGGUGGCAAGCGUUAUCCGGAUUUAUUGGGCGGAAAGGGAACGCAGGCGGGCUUUUAAGGCUGAUGUGAAAGCCUUCGGCUUAACCGGAGUAGUGCAUUUGAAAAUGGGGGACCUGAGAGCAGAAGAGGCGAGAGGAACUCCAUGUGG